AACAACGUACAGGUGCAUUACCGCCACCUUCCAGGUUGGAGUAUGGCUGGUAGGAGAUUGAAUCCACCUGGUUCUCAUCACUCCAGGAGAGAAGAAAGAUGCAGCAGAGGGGAGUGGCUUGCUGGCAGUUUGUCAGAACAGAUAUAAACAAACUUAUGUUGGUUUCAGAAAUAAUUAUUUUAUAAAUUUCAGUGAGACUUAUGAUUAUUACUGUAACAGGUGGCACCAUUAGGUGUCGCACUCUCUCCAGCCUGUGCCUCCAUAAAAGGGAAGCUGGAAGACCAGCUGUGUGUUGGGUCCACGCUGUUUGCUGGCUGUGGUAGGUUGGGGGAAAUCGUUUUAAAGUGAUUCUUUUAAGUAAGUUGUACUGAUGUGGUGUUUUUAUACAGGACUGCAUUGUUGAUGGUGUUGGCUGGUAGCGUUACCUGGGCGUGGUUGUUCGACGCCGCAGUGUAAGCAGAUUAAGAUGAAAGAGGAAGCCAGGAAUUAGAAAAUCUAAAGACCUUCCUGUCUCAGAAGAGGCUCUGGCUCCACCAGAUCACCAACCAGCUCUGAGGAUGAAGCUCCACAUCGUCUUCAUGGUGGAAGGAUUUUUAUUUUUACUGAGCAGCUGGCUACAUUUUUAACAGCAAAAACUGGGCCUGUGAUGGACUGGUGACCUGUCCAGGGUGAACCCCGCCUCUCAUCUGAUGACAGCUGGAGACGGGCACCACCAGCUGCCUGACACUUUUUAGAUUAUCAUGCAGAGAAAAUGGAGUACUUAUAAUUAUCUUGCCACCCAGAAAAGGAUUUACAAUAAACUUAUAAUCCAGAAAAACUACUUCCAGAACAUUCAGUUUAUAUACAGUACUUCAAGAAUUAGAACAAACUUAGAAUCCAGAGAAAUUGAUCUAAACAAAACUACUCAUUACCUUAGAUCAACAUGGAGGACCAACACUUAGUUUUAUGCCUCAUAAAUUAUGGAGUACUUAUACUUACAUUGCAACAGAGAACAAGAGCAGCUGGUUUAUAUACUUUAUAAACUGUGGAGUACUUAUUACUGUACUUUAGACCAAUAUUUAGCUUAAACCUUUCUUUAGCAGUUUAGGUUCUGCAGGGUAUUAAAGAAAAUGUGUUGUUUGUUAAAUAUUAUUGUUUGGGGGGGGGGGGGGUGCAGGAAGGCAUCCAGACACAUAAAAAUGAUAAAGUAAAUUUAAAAAGCUCUGAAAAAGGCACUUGGUGCAUCAAGGAUGAAAAGUGCCGCCGAUGCACCAAGAGCUCUGUUGUCAGGUUGUUCUUCCUGAGAAUCCUCAGGAAGUUCAGUCUCUGCUGUGCCUUCUUCAGGACUGAAGUGGAGUUAGUGUUCCAGGUCAGGUCUUCAGUGAUGUAGGAGCCCAGGAACAAGAAGCUAAAUGAUGAGAUAUUAAUUUUAACAGUUUGUUCAUGUAACAACUGUUGUAGUUUCCCCUAUGAACAGAGCCCAAAUUCUCUGACCUGCACUCUAUCAAAACCUUCACAAUGAGAAAAUAGUGUUUUAAUUGACAACAGUAUAUGUUGUAAAUAGAGUGCGUAACUGAGCACAAGAGCAAGGCUAAGAUAACUACAACUAAGAUCUAAAUGCAGUGCAACUUUGACCUUAUACUAAAAUAAGGAAGGAAAAAUGGUAAAGUUGAAUAUGUACCAGUUUAAUAAACCGGACUGGUCAGUAAUAAACCAAGGGCGAUGCACGGUAACAAAGCACAGUUACCUUUCAGCACAGUAGAACAAUAGACCAGGAUGUAUCCCAAACAUUAAUCAGGUAUUAAUCACAGUUAGUGCUACAACUCAAUAUUACAACCCCAAUAGAUCAGUAGUAAGAUUUUUAGCACACUUAGUGCAACUGUUCUGUCUCAGAACUGUUCAAAACAACCCUUUAAACAAGUUGUAU